UGGGGAAUAUUGCACAAUGGGCGCAAGCCUGAUGCAGCGACGCCGCGUGAGGGAUGACGGCCUUCGGGUUGUAAACCUCUUUCAGCAGGGAAGAAGCGCAAGUGACGGUACCUGCAGAAGAAGCGCCGGCUAACUACGUGCCAGCAGCCGCGGUAAUACGUAGGGCGCAAGCGUUGUCCGGAAUUAUUGGGCGUAAAGAGCUCGUAGGCGGUUUGUCGCGUCUGCUGUGAAAACGCGAGGCUCAACCUCGCGCCUGCAGUGGGUACGGGCAGACUAGAGUGCGGUAGGGGAGACUGGAAUUCCUGGUGUAGCGGUGGAGUGCGCAGAUAUCAGGAGGAACACCGGUGGCGAAGGCGGGUCUCUGGGCCGUAACUGACGCUGAGGAGCGAAAGCAUGGGGAGCGAACA
rnacentral:rRNA from 1 species